GCGAGUUUUACCUAAGAUGACGCUGGCGGAGCUGAGUGAGGAGGAGGCCUCCGAGGCGUCCCGAGAUGAGGAGGAGGCUCCCGCCUCUCCUCUGACACCUGGUCCCUACAAUGAGUCUGAAUCAGAUAAAGACUUGUCACCAGCAACAAGAUAGGAUAUUAAGGACCUCUUGCUGGAAAUGAGACAGGUGUGGAAAGCAGACCUGUGUGCAACUCAAGCAGAGAUGGGGUCCC